CAGACGACGUGACAAUCACAACACACGAUACAUCACACACGAGGAGGGUAACUAACCAGUGUUCUCUGAUUGAACCUUUGACUAAAUUGUUCAUAACCCCUUGAAUUAAACAAGUUAAACAGAAGCCAUGUUUCGCAUGGGAGCACCUCGUCUAGACUCCACAGAGGAGAAGAGGAGGGCACAGGAGGAGGAGAGGAUGGCAAGAAUGAUUGUGUACUCCAACAUAGGCACCUUCCUUGCUACCAUAGGUCUUAUACGUGCUACUCCCUUCAUUCUAGAGCGGUUCUUCUGAAGACUGGCUCAGGGAAGUGAAAGAGGCAGCAAAUCACCAGGAAAACUGUAUAGUAAUUUAAACGUAGAUGAUAUUGGUAGACAUAAGUUAACAGAAAUAUUGAGUGAAAAUGUUUUGUAUUUAUGGAAAAGUUUGAUCAGUUGAAGUCUUGUCAAUAAAGAUUUUAUUUAA